UGAUGCGAUCAUACCAGCACUAAAGCACCGGAUCCCAUCAGAACUCCGAAGUUAAGCGUGCUUGGGCGAGAGUAGUACUAGGAUGGGUGACCUCCGAAGUUAAGCGUGCUUGGG
rnacentral:rRNA from 13 species